UCGAGAGGCUUUGUCAAUGGGGGAAACCCUGAACAAGCGACGCCGCGUGGAGGAUGAAGGCCCUUGGGUUGUAAACUCCUUUUGUCGGGGAAGAAAUGUGAUCAGGUCAAUAUCCUGGUUGCUUGACGGUACUCGACGAAUAAGCUCCGGCUAACUCCGUGCCAGCAGCCGCGGUAAUACGGGGGGGGCCAGCGUUGUUCGGAAUUAUUGGGCGUAAAGGGCACGCAGGUGGUUAUGCGAGUCAGUUGUGAAAUCCCUUGGCUUACCCAAGGAACUGCUUCUGAUACUGCAUGACUUGAGUCCGGGAGAGGAGAGCGGAAUUCCCAGUGUAGCGGUGGAAUGCGUAGAUAUCGGGAGGAACAUCAGUGGCGAAGGCGGCUACCUGGACUAACACUGACACUGAGGCACGAAAGCGUGGGGAGCAAACAGGAUUAGAUACCCUGGUAGUCCACGCUGUAAACGAUGGGUACUAGACGUUGGGAAGUUUAAUCUUCUUAGUGUCGCAGCUAACGCAUUAAGUACCCCGCCUGGGGAGUACGGCCGCAAGGUUA
rnacentral:rRNA from 1 species